AACGAACGCUGGCGGCAGGCCUAACACAUGCAAGUCGAGCGAGGACUCCGGUUCUUUCGGCGGACGGGUGAGUAACGCGUGGGAAUGUGCCCUUCUCUACGGAAUAGCUCUGGGAAACUGGGAGUAAUACCGUAUACGCCCUUAUGGGGAAAGAUUUAUCGGAGAAGGAUCAGCCCGCGUUGGAUUAGGUAGUUGGUGGGGUAAUGGCAGACCAAGCCGAGGAUGCAUAGCUGGUUUGAGAGGAUGAUUAGCCACACUGGGACUGAGACACGGCCCAGACUCCUACGCAAGGGAGCAGAGGGGAAUCUUAGACAAUGGAGGCAACCCUGAUCUAGCCAUGCCGGGUGAGUGAUGAUGGCCUUAGGGUUGUAAAGCUCUUUCAGCUGGGAAGAUAAUGACGGUACCAGCUGAAGAAGCCCCGGCUAACUACGUG
rnacentral:rRNA from 1 species